CCUUUCAUAAAAGCCGAAAGAGGAAAACGAAGGCCCAUGUCCAAGAACCAGGAGUAGAUCCUAGUACAAGGAUGACAUGGAUCUGAUAACGGUGGCAAAUUGGCAUAUAUAUCAUGGCCGGGUUCCCACCAGAUGUUGUAAUCGUUCAAAAUGUCAUGAUGCUCUUAAACGAAAGAUUCACCUUUUUCUUGACUAUGAACUCUUGUCAAAGGAAGAUUAUAGGGUGAAACGCUAAUUGAUUUAGAUUUCUUACUUGAAGACGCCAUGAGAAAAGAUUCAAAGGGGAGAUAGGAUUUUGAAAUGGGUUGGGAUAAAUAGUUAGACCUUUUUUUUCGACAAUGAACAACUUAGAAUUGGUAAUGUGAAGAAGUAAGAUAUGAGGAUAUAUAGGCAUCAUUUGGUGGAAUCAUCUAACCGUCAAAUUCAAACCGACUUCUCUUGGGAUUAAUAGAUUUCAUAGCUAGGAUAAACAAAGAACAUCGGAGAAGAUUUCCCGUUUCUCGUGUGCAAGCAUUGGAUGCAAUACUUCAUCAUUACAAACUUUAAGACAUGUUACACGAAGUUGCAUGUCUGAAUCUGAAAUGCUUCCACAUCAGCAUUAGAGGUCACCUCACAUUUAUGAAGACUAAAAAAAGGUACAUAUUGCAGCUUACUCUGAAAGGUAUGAUCUUUAGAUAACCAUCCAUCCUCAAGAGGAAUGUGUUGUUUAUCAAACGGAUAGUUAAGGGCAAUUGUGAUGCCAUAAUUUUCCAGGGCUGGAGUAAGUCUGAUCCGAAUAAAGUUACCUAAGAAGUUCGAUAUUGACUUACUGAUGCCGAGGAAAGUUGUAUUAGAUGGAGCAGAAAGACACACUCUAUUCCAAGGCACUAGGUUACAAGACAUGCGAUC
rnacentral:lncRNA from 1 species